CAGCAGCCGCGGUAACACGAAGGGGGCUAGCGUUGUUCGGAUUUACUGGGCGUAAAGCGCACGUAGGCGGAUCGAUCAGUCAGGGGUGAAAUCCCAGAGCUCAACUCUGGAACUGCCUUUGAUACUGUCGAUCUGGAGUAUGGAAGAGGUGAGUGGAAUUCCGAGUGUAGAGGUGAAAUUCGUAGAUAUUCGGGGGAACACCAGUGGCGAAGGCGGCUCACUGGUCCAUUACUGACGCUGAGGUGCGAAAGCGUGGGGAGCAAACAGGAUUAGAUACCCCCGUAGUCCCUGUCUCUUAUAC
rnacentral:rRNA from 1 species